GAUGAACGCUGGCGGCGUGCCUAAUACAUGCAAGUCGAGCGAACAGACGAGGAGCUUGCUCCUCUGACGUUAGCGGCGGACGGGUGAGUAACACGUGGAUAACCUACCUAUAAGACUGGGAUAACUUCGGGACACCGGAGCUAAUACCGGAUAAUAUCUUGAACCGCAUGGUUCAAUAGUGAAAGACGGUUUUGCUGUCACUUAUAGAUGGAUCCGCGCCGCAUUAGCUAGUUGGUAAGGUAACGGCUUACCAAGGCAACGAUGCGUAGCCGACCUGAGAGGGGGAUCGGCCACACUGGAACUGAGACACGGUCCAGACGCCUACGGGAGGCAGCAGUAGGGAAUCUUCCGCAAUGGGCGAAAGCCUGACGGAGCAACGCCGCGUGAGUGAUGAAGGUCUUCGGAUCGUAAAACUCUGUUAUUAGGGAAGAACAAAUGUGUAAGUAACUAUGCACGUCUUGACGGUACCUAAUCAGAAAGCCACGGCUAACUACGUG
rnacentral:rRNA from 1 species